UGCAAUGGGAGGGGGCGGGGAGAGCUGGAAUUUGUAGCGCCUUGAAGAGCUGAGCGCCACCUCAUGGACAUAUUGGGGAAUCACUACCACUAACACACGGAUUGAAUUAGUUUCAUUCAUUUGCGUACCCAGGAGCAGUGAUGAUUUCACCAUGACAAAUAAGUAGUUGCAACAGUAUGGAAGAACAAGGUUCACCAGAUCAAGCAGAGAGGAACUUCUGUCUAAUACUCCAGAGAUGCCGUUCUUAUCAGCUGCUUUUAGCAACUUUUACAAUCUGAGCUUGUAACACAAAAAUUGCAGACCAUGUGAUGCAGGAGUUAAGGAUCUCAGUAACAGGACCCUAGCAGUUGAAGAUAAAAUGGAUGAUGUGGCCACUAAAGUUAACCACCAAGAGGCUUUGCUCUCCAAACUCCAGCAUCUUCCAGAUCAGAUGGAAGAUGGAGGAACAGGGGUAUAGCCCCGAAACGUUGCAUUUCUGCAAAUAAACACGCAAAGGGAUCUCCCUGCUUGAACCAGCCGUGAGUGCCAGUGUAUUCUUGAAAUUGAUUGGU